AACGAACGCUGGCGGCAUGCCUAACACAUGCAAGUCGAACGAGACCUUCGGGUCUAGUGGCGCACGGGUGCGUAACGCGUGGGAACCUGCCCUUAGGUUCGGAAUAACUCCCCGAAAGGGGUGCUAAUACCGGAUAAUGUCUUCGGACCAAAGAUUUAUCGCCUUUGGUUGGGCCCGCGUUGGAUUAGCUAGUUGGUAGGGUAAAAGCCUACCACGGCGACGAUCCAUAGCUGGUCUGAGAGGAUGAUCAGCGACACUUGGACUGAGACACGGCCCGGACUCCUACGGGAGGCAGCAGUGGGGAAUAUUGGACAAGGGGCGAAAGCAUGAUCCAGCAAUGCCGGGUGAGUGAUGAAGGCCUUAGGGUUGUAAAGCUCUUUUAACCGGGAUGAUAAUGACAGUACCGGGAGAAUAAGCUCCGGCUAACUCCGUG
rnacentral:rRNA from 1 species